rnacentral:rRNA from 1 species
UGGCGGACGGGUGAGUAAUGUCUGGGAAACUGCCUGAUGAAGGGGGAUAACUACUGGAAACGGUAGCUAAUACCGCAUAACGUCGCAAGACCAAAGAGGGGGACCUUCGGGCCUCUUGCCAUCGGAUGUGCCCAGAUGGGAUUAGCUAGUAGGUGGGGUAACGGCUCACCUAGGCGACGAUCCCUAGCUGGUCUGAGAGGAUGACCAGCCACACUGGAACUGAGACACGGUCCAG